rnacentral:rRNA from 1 species
AGCAGCCGCGGUAAUUCCAGCUCCAAUAGCGUAUAUUAAAGUUGCUGCAGUUAAAAAGCUCGUAGUUGAAUUUCGGGACCGAUAUAUCGGUCGUGCCUCGGUACGUACUGGUAUUUUCGGUUUCUCCCUUCUGACGAACCUUGAUGUCAUUAAUUUGGUGUCUUGGGGAAUCAGGACUGUUACUUUGAAAAAAUUAGAGUGUUUAAAGCAGGCUCACGCUUGAAUACAUUAGCAUGGAAUAAUGAAAUAGGACGUUUGAUUCUAUUUUGUUGAUUUCUAGGAUCGACGUAAUGAUUAAUAGGGAUAGUUGGGGGCAUUAGUAUUCAAUUGUCAGAGGUGAAAUUCUUGGAUUUAUUGAAGACUAACUACUGCGAAAGCAUUUGCCAAGGAUGUUUUCAUUAAUCAAGAACGAAAGUUAGGGGAUCGAAGACGAUCAGAUACCGUCGUAGUCUUAACCAUAAACUAUGCCGACUAGGGAUCGGAUGAUGUUAAUUUUUUUAAUGACUCAUUCGGCGCCUUA